rnacentral:rRNA from 1 species
GCAAGUCGAACGAGACUUACCUAGCUUGCUUUGUAAGUUUAGUGGCGGACGGGUGAGUAACACGUGAGCAACCUGCCCAGAAGAAAGGGAUAGCUCGGGGAAACUCGAAUUAAUACCAUAUGUGAUCCUGUAUAGCAUUUUACAGGAAUGAAAGGUGCCUUCGGGUGCCGCUUCUGGAUGGGCUCGCGGCCUAUCAGUUAGUUGGUGAGGUAACGGCUCACCAAGGCGAUGACGGGUAGCUGGUCUGAGAGGACGACC